CCUGGUUUAAGUUUUAGGAGUAGAUCCACUCUCAAGUAACUAUAAGCCCUACCUUGAUGAGACUUGCAUGGAUGAUGCAUCUAGAUCAUAUAAAGAGAGCUACUAGUAUUUGAAGCCAGAAGAUGAAACAAUACUAAUUCAAAGCAUGAUUGUAUGGGGGUAAUAAAGUUUUGAAUAUCC